GGCUAGUCCAACUGCAGUGGUGUUUACGACUAAUUGGUCACAACCAGUUACAGACUUAUUUGUUCUUUCUCCACUCCCACUGCCUCACUUGACCAGCCAAAA
ensembl:misc_RNA Y_RNA Y RNA